ACGAACAUACUGUUUGUGUUGUUGUGUUUCAGAUUCAGAUUCAUUGAGAGUAACUGGUUCGUGUGGGUAACUCAGAUGAAUCACAUUCCAAUGAAUAUUGACUAUGAUCAGAAUUAGGAGUGGCUCUCCACGCAGCUCCAAGCCACGUGCAAUGUGGACCAGUCCCAGUUUAACGACUGGUUCAGUGGACACCUCAAUUUCCAGAUUGAGCAUCAUUUAUUUCCCACAAUGCCACGUCACAAUUACUGGAAAGCCGCUCCCCUUGUCCACUCUCUGUGCAAGAAGUAUGGCAUUGAGUAUCAGUCCAAGCCAUUGUUCACAGC